UACGUAGGUGGCAAGCGUUGUCCGGAUUUACUGGGCGUAAAGAGCGCGCAGGCGGUUGUUUAAGUCGAAUGUGAAAGCCCCCGGCUCAACUGGGGAGGGUCAUUCGAUACUGAUCGACUUGAAGGCAGGAGAGGGAAGUGGAAUUCCGGGUGUAGUGGUGAAAUGCGUAGAGAUCCGGAAGAACACCGGUGGCGAAGGCGGCCUGCUGGGCAGUUGCUGACACUGAGGCGCGACAGCGUGGGGAGCAAACAGG
rnacentral:rRNA from 1 species